rnacentral:tRNA from 1 species
GGGCGAUUAGCUCAGUUGGCUAGAGCGCCGCCCUUACAAGGCGGAUGUCGGGGGUUCGAGUCCCUCAUCGCCCACCU